ensembl:lncRNA CCNT2-AS1 CCNT2 antisense RNA 1
GCAUUUUUAAAAUGGAAAAGCAAUUCUGGGACAACAAGGGAUUCUGGAAGUGUCAGGAAAAGGAACAUGGUUUCCUUAUUCCCUGGGCAAGCCUCCCUGCCUGCUUUAAGAUGUGGGAUGGGCAUCAUUUCCUCCAGAAGGCCUUCUCUGAUCCUUGGUGCCCAAAUCUCUGCCCCUUAGCACCUGAUGUAAAGGGAGUCCUAACCUUUCCAUGCUGCAUUGGGUUAACUCUGCACAUUAACUAGAUUUCCAGACCACAAGUCCUCCAGAGCCUGCAUUAGUCAUGUCUGCAUGCCAGCUGGAAGCUCAAGAAUAUUCCCUCUGAACUCGGAGAGGACAUAUGAUGCCUCUGAAAAUGAAGUCAGACCCAUGCCCUGGGCAGAUCUAGACUCCCAGCUCACUCUUGGGGCUCGUUAUUUCUAGAGGGCUUUGCCCACAGCCUUCUUCUUUUUGCUUUUUCCUCUUACCAAACUCAACCCUUAAUAACACUGUCUUCUCCCCUUUGUCUCCAGUGUUCAAUUUUUCCAGCUUGUGCUCAAACCUAACUGUCCCAUUUAUUUGGUCAGCUUUAAUAUACUGUAAUAACCUGUAGAGAGCACUAGGUCACU